rnacentral:rRNA from 1 species
GAUGAACGCUGGCGGCGUGCCUAAUACAUGCAAGUCGAGCGAACAGACGAGGAACUUUCCCCUCUGACGUUAGCGUCGGACAGGGGAGUAAAACGUGGAUAACCUACCUAUAAGACUGGGAUAAAUUCGGGAAAACGGAGCUAAUACCGGGUAAUAUAUUGAACCGCAUGAUUCAAUAGUGAAAGACGGUUUUGCUGUCACUUAUACAUGGAUCCGCGCCGGAGUAGCUAGUUGGUAAGGUAACGGCUUACCAAGGCAACGAUGCAUAGCCGACCUGAGAGGGGGAGCGCCCACACGGGAACGGGACCAGGGCCCAGACUCUUACGGGAGGCACAAGUAGGGAACUUUCGGAAAUGGGCGAAAGCCUGCCGGAGCAACGCCGCGUGGGUGAUGAAGGCUUCCGGAUCGUAAACCCCUGUUAUUAGGGAAGAACAAAUGUGUAAGAAUAGAGGGACGGCUUGACGGUACCUAAACAGAAAGCCACGGCUAACUACGUG